rnacentral:rRNA from 1 species
GCUUGUCUCAAAGAUUAAGCCAUGCAUGUCUAAGUGUAAAUAAGUCUAUACUGUGAAACUGCGAAUGGCUCAUUAAAUCAGUUAUCGUUUAUUUGAUGAUCUCUUACUACUUGGAUAACCGUAGUAAUUCUAGAGCUAAUACAUGCACAAAAUCCCGACUUACGAAGGGAUGUAUUUAUUAGAUACAAACCAACAUCGUGGUGAUUCAUAAUAACCGAACGAAUCGCAUAGCUGCCGCUGGCGAUAGACCAUUCAAGUUUCUGACCUAUCAGCUAUCGUCGGUAGGGUAUUGGCCUACCGUGGCAAUGACGGGUAACGGAGAAUUAGGGUUCGAUUCCGGAGAGGGAGCCUGAGAAACGGCUACCACAUCCAAGGAAGGCAGCAGG